rnacentral:rRNA from 1 species
AGGACGAACGCUGGCGGCGUGCUUAACACAUGCAAGUCGAGCGGAAAGGCCCUUCGGGGUACUCGAGCGGCGAACGGGUGAGUAACACGUGAGUAAUCUGCCCCUAGCUCUGGGAUAGCUCCGGGAAAACCGGGAUUAAUACCGGAUACGACCACUUUAGACAUCUGUUGUGGUGGAAAGAAUUUUGGCUAGGGAUGAGCUCGCGGCCUAUCAGCUUGUUGGUGGGGUAACGGCCUACCAAGGCGACGACGGGUA